rnacentral:misc_RNA from 1 species
GGCAGAAAAAGUAGUGGAGAUGAGAGGAGGAGAGGAAGAAACAGAGAUCAUAGCAGUGGAAAAUAAGCUGAAAGAGAGAAAGAUAUCAUGGGCAAAGCUGCGUCGCGUGGACUCCCUCAAUUUGGAGGCUGGCAGAGUGUCCACGUCUCAAAUCCAACACAGUAACAUGGUUGAUUGGAAAAGGACAUUGAGUUUGGCAUUUCAGAGCAUAGGAGUGGUGUAUGGGGACAUAGGAACCUCACCCCUUUAUGUAUAUGCAAGCACUUUCCCUGACAAAAUUAAUGCAAAAGAGGACAUUUUUGGGGUAUUAUCGCUAAUCAUUUAUACCAUAGUACUAUUACCCAUGCUCAAGUACGUGUUCAUUGUGUUGAAGGCCAAUGAUAAUGGCGAUGGUGGAACCUUCGCCCUCUAUUCGUUGCUAAGUCGGUAUGCAAAAGUGAGCUUAAUACCCAAUGACCAACCUGAGGACAGGCAGCUUUCCAACUACAAUCUUGAAAUACCUUCCAACCAGUUGAAGCGAGCUGAAAAGAUUAAAGAGAAGCUGGAGAAUUCUAAUAGCAUUAAAAUCAUACUUUUUCUUGUCACCAUUCUCGGAACUUCCAUGGUCAUCGGGGACGGAAUUCUCACCCCUUGCAUUUCAGUUCUUUCAGCGGUGAGCGGAAUCAGCUCCCUUGGCCAAGACGCUGUUGUGGGUAUUUCAAUUGCAAUUUUGGUGGUCCUCUUCUGUGCUCAACAAUUUGGCACCGACAAAGUGGGCUUCUCAUUCGCCCCAAUUAUUCUCCUGUGGUUUUCAUUCAUCGGCGGCAUAGGUCUUUACAAUUUGUUCAAAUAUGAUGUGAGUGUAUUACGUGCUUUCAAUCCAAAAUAUAUGUUCGAUUACUUCAAAAGAAAUGGGAAGCAAGGAUGGAUUUCACUUGGUGGAAUUGUUUUAUGCGUUACAGGCACUGAAGCCAUGUUUGCUGAUCUUGGUCACUUUAAUGUCCAAGCAGUUCAAAUUAGUUUUUCUUGCAUUGUGUUUCCUGCUAUACUAUCAGCAUAUGCAGGGCAAGCAGCAUACCUCACCAAAUUCCCAGAUGAUGUGUCUAAAACUUUCUACAAGUCUAUACCAGAUCGAUUAUACUGGCCAAUGUUCGUUGUUGCUGUAGCCGCUGCAAUUAUUGCCAGCCAAGCCAUGAUAUCGGGAGCAUUUGCAAUCAUCUCUCAAUCUCUGAGUCUUGGUUGCUUUCCCAGGGUCAAGGUUGUUCACACUUCUGCUAAAUAUGAGGGUCAGGUUUACAUACCUGAGGUCAACUACCUGCUCAUGAUUGCCUGUGUUUUCGUCUGUUUGGGAUUCAAGACUACUGAAAAGAUCGGCAAUGCAUAUGGAAUUGCCGUGGUUGCUGUUAUGGUAAUCACAACUUGUAUGGUUACGCUCAUAAUGCUGGUUGUAUGGAGGACAAGGAUAACGUGGAUUGUUCUCUUCUUUGUUGGAUUUAUUUUCUUAGAGGGCAUUUAUCUAUCAUCUGUCCUGUACAAAUUCAAAGAUGGCGGUUACUUUCCACUUGCAAUUUCAUUUUUCCUGAUGAUAGUUAUGGGGAUAUGGCAUUAUAUACAAAAAGAAAGGUAUAUAUAUGAGCUUAAAAACAAGGUGUCCAGCGAAUUCGUUAGAGAAUUAGCUGCAAACCCAAAUAUAAAUAGAGUGCCAGGAAUAGGACUUCUAUACGCAGAGCUUGUACAGGGCAUUCCUCCAAUUUUCCCUCACUUCAUUGCCAACAUACCAUCCACGCACUCAGUUCUAGUGAUUGUUUCCAUUAAGUCUAUUCCGAUAAGUAAAGUAGCAUUGGAGGAGAGGUUCCUGUUUCGACAAGUUGAGCCAACAGAGUACCGGAUGUUCCGCUGUGUUGUGAGGUAUGGAUAUAAUGAUGCAAUUGCGGAGCCCCAUGAGUUUGAGCACCAGUUGGUCGAAGGCUUAAAAGAAUUCAUCCGCAACGAAUACUUCAUGCGCGAAGGAGGUACUGAAACAGUGGGCGAGCCAGAGAACCUCCAACAUUCCACUCUACUAGCGAAAGAUGGAAAAGCAAGAGGAUCAGCAGUUUACAUUGAGGAGUCAUUACAGCAGCAGCCUAAUCCAUCUCGGGUUUCAUCAGGUUCCAUCAAGUCAAAUAGUGGGAUUAAGUCGACAAAUUCUUCGAAUGGAAUUAUAUCUGCCACACUCCAAGGGUGUGCUGAAGAAGAAAUGCAGUUUGUGCAGAAGGCAAUGGAGAAAGGUGUGGUUUAUCUGCUGGGAGAAGCAGAAGUGGUGGCAGAACCAAAAUCAUCCUUGUUCAAGAAAUUCAUUGUGAACUAUGCUUAUGGUUUCCUGAGGAAAAACAGCAGACAAGGGGAGAAACUUUUGGCAAUCCCAAGAACCAAGCUCCUCAGAGUUGGAAUGACAUAUGAGAUAUGAUACAGACGCUGUAGCUUAUGCAUGAUAUACUUUUGUCGCAACUAAAAAACAAAUUGUGGGAAAAGAAAAAAGUUGAGUUGCCAUGCUGAAUAUUGUAUGUUUGCUUCUCAGUAUAUUGGCACAUUAAUUAUAAUGAAGACGUAAGAAUUUUUUAAUAUCUCUGUACAAGAAUGAUAUUCAUUACCUCAACUGCAAUAGGUAGGAGGGGGUAUGGACUUUCUUCCAAAAGAGGGGAAGGGGACACACUUUUG